UACCACCGGCGGCACGGGGUUGCAGUCCUCGUCCCCUAGGCGGGGUCCGGCGGGGGUGAACGUCGAGGCGCGGGUUCCGGCCCCCGCCGGUGAGAGC
rnacentral:tRNA from 1 species